AACGAACGCUGGCGGCAUGCCUAACACAUGCAAGUCGAACGAGACCUUCGGGUCUAGUGGCGCACGGGUGCGUAACGCGUGGGAACCUGCCUUUAGGUUCGGAAUAACUCAGAGAAAUUUGAGCUAAUACCGGAUGAUGUCUUCGGACCAAAGAUUUAUCGCCUUUAGAUGGGCCCGCGUUGGAUUAGCUAGUUGGUGGGGUAAAGGCCUACCAAGGCGACGAUCCAUAGCUGGUCUGAGAGGAUGAUCAGCCACACUGGGACUGAGACACGGCCCAGACUCCUACGGGAGGCAGCAGUGGGGAAUAUUGGACAAUGGGCGAAAGCCUGAUCCUGCAAUGCCGCGUGAGUGAUGAAGGCCUUAGGGUUGUAAAGCUCUUUUACCCGAGAUGAUAAUGACAGUAUCGGGAGAAUAAGCUCCGGCUAACUCCGUG
rnacentral:rRNA from 1 species